GCAGAGACCAGAGCUGAGAACUAUCUGAACCAGAGACCCCCUCUACCUGCAGGCAUACACAGCACAGCACACCCCAGGCCUGCCUGUGGGCUACUGAGGGACUAGUAAGGGGCAAGGCUAUGGGGAGGUCAGGAUGCUGAGUACAGAAAUAAUGGAAGGAGGUACAACUGAGACAUGAGCUAUCCAGAAGCCUGCAGACCUCUGUGCUUUCUGAAUACACAGGACAGAUCCUGGAGAAAUGAAGACAGGCUCAGUAAAGGAAACACCUCAACCUUUCUGAAGUUCUGGCUUUUCCUGGAGAUGUCUGGCUCUGGAGCAGCAGCUUCUCAGCAGAUGGUAUACGGAUGGAAGAUAGAUUUCAUCUCAAAGACGAGUUCUGCUAGACUGGAAGUGGCUGCCUCCAGCACUUGGCCCUGAGGUCUCAGACACAAGGCUCCACUCAGAGAGAGGAAAUGCGGGGAUCAAUUAGUGAUGUCUGCCACAGACCCAGAAGUGGGGCUUGGUGGUGGGUGUGUACAUACUAUUUGUGGCUCCUGAAGGGCAGCCAUGACAUUCAGGCGUCUCUCCUGGCAGCUCUUACAAUCUACUGUCUUAUUCAGUGACACUUGUAAACUACAUUGUGAAGGUACAAGGAGUGUGUAAUAGGAAAGACAGUCUGAGACACAAAGAGGCCAAGUGAUUUGCCCCCCAGCCACCGGUCAGCUCCAAAGUUAGGGCAGGAGUUCAGUUUUGCUAGAGUUCCAUUGACAGACUUUGCCUGCUAUCUCCCCCAGCCUGAAAGGUCAAGGUCCAAGGACUGUCCUUAGCAUGUCCAGACUUGCUCCAGAGCAGUGUUUUGAGUGGUGCCUCUCUAAACCUGCCCACCCAUAUCUCACAGCCUCAGUGUCUCAAACCAGUCUGCAUGACCAUUUCCAGUCCUCAGUCUCCUUCUGGGUUAAUCAGAUGGAGAAUUAGCCUAAAUAGCUUAGUUUCCCAGCAGCCAGCUCACAGCUCCUACCUCCACUCUCCUUUUCCUCCCCACUCUCCCUUCUCCUGCAAGUCUGACCACCAUCAGCUCUGAGAAGCACCUGGAGCCCUACCAGCCUCCAACAAGGGCUGUGGACCAUCUUUGUAGCCCAUACAUACAGUCCUAGUGUUCCUGUGGUCUCCAAAAGUGCAGGUGAGCAGAAACCUUGUAAGGUGCCCACCUCUACCACACUGGGGUUCUGCCAACAUCUCCACCAACAAGAAAGCAUUUCUGUCCCAAAGGCCACCCAGAGGGGUUAGGCUGGGCCCAGACAGUGACCCUGCUGCUGAGUCUGGGCUCAGUGCCUUCUCCUGAUGCCAAAUGACUCAAAGUGCCACUUUUAGCAGGUAAGCUGUAACUGGUGGCACCUGCACAUCUCCAUGUCGCCUGCCAGGGGAGCUGGCGAUGAGAUAACGCCUGGCCUGGGCUCUGGCUCUGUUGAAAGAAAGAGUGUUUGCACAUGUGCCACGCACCUUCACUCAUCUAUUGAUUUCUGUUUGAAGAUCUUAGCCCAGCUCUGCAAAACAAGUCACAAGACACAGAAGUCCAUGUCUCCCCUGCAACCUGGCUUCUCAUGAUAAGGCCCCAAAUCUACAGCUCUGGGCUUUCCCAGCAGAGUUCACAGGACUAAAGAAAGUUGUUGGACCCAGAAACGGAAAGAGCCACCCAAGAACUCAAGCUUUUGGAGGACUGUGUGGGAUCUGAGGAACAAGGAUAAGAGAACAAGUGGAAAAAGGAAAGCAUUGAUUUAACUCUUACGGCCUCCUAAGUACUCUGCUGGAGAUUGCAUCUCAGCUCAUUUGUCCUGAACUAUCAAGCUGAAUCAAAAGUUCUCAAUCCCAUCUGCAGAGAGAACUUGUAAAUAGCAUUAGUGGCUCUGAUUUAAUGGUGUUGGGAGGGUCCCAUGUUGGCUAUUUUUUUUUAAUGUUCCCCAGAGGUUUCUAAUGUGAAAGCAGGGGAGUGAACUGUGACCCAAGGAAGUGCUUCCCAAAUAAAUGACUGGAUCUUGUUAAAAUACAGAUUCUGAUUCAGCAGGGUUGGGGUUGGACCGUCUAGCAAGCUCUCAGGGAUGCCAAAGCUGUUGGUCCUUUGGUCACACGUUGAGUGGCAGGAGUUUAGCUUGUCAAUUCCACAAAGGCAAAGACUUUUCUUUGGUUCAUCACUAGUCCUAAAACAAUGCCAACAGGAUAAUGCAGUUGCAGAACUGAUAAGAAAGGCACGAAGAAAUGAGCACACUUUGGAGACAGGUAUAAGAUAGCUGUCAUUUUACAUCCAAGCAAGCCGAGGUCAUUGUGGCAUCAUAAGGGAAAAUUGGAAGGGACUGACCUGUAUGUGAGAUUGGCAGCUGAGUGACACACAAGCUGUGAUUCUCACAUGACAGCAGAGGUAAGGACUCCGGCUCAUGGGUUUGUCUGCCUAAAUUCAAGCACUGCCUCCAGCUCUCAUGACCCAACCAGACUUGGAAAUAGGUUAAGCUGGUUCCUGAUGUACAGUCUAUUCAGUGUCCCAUUUGCUCUGUUUUUCAGCUGAAAAUGGAGGGGGGGGAAACAAUUGUGUUUUUUUUUAUUUCAAAUGGUUAUUUUGAAGAUUAAAUGAAAUGAUCUGCACUGGAUACUAGAGGAUAUUAAGAAUUAUUGCUGAUUACAGAAAACAGACCUUCCACCUUCUGCACUGCAUAAAGAAUUUUGAUCCAUACUCCCAGAGAGAUGAAGAAGUGGGAAGCUUCCAAUGGAGGAGAUGGGACACAGAACUCUGGUGGUGGAAACUGUAUAACUGUUAUCCUACAGUUGUGUUAAACAUUGUUAUAUCACUAAUAAAAUUUAAAAAUAAGAAUCA